AGAUUGAACGCUGGCGGCAGGCCUAACACAUGCAAGUCGAGCGGUAGAGAGGUGCUUGCACCUCUUGAGAGCGGCGGACGGGUGAGUAAAGCCUAGGAAUCUGCCUGGUAGUGGGGGAUAACGCUCGGAAACGGACGCUAAUACCGCAUACGUCCUACGGGAGAAAGCAGGGGACCUUCGGGCCUUGCGCUAUCAGAUGAGCCUAGGUCGGAUUAGCUAGUUGGUGAGGUAAUGGCUCACCAAGGCGACGAUCCGUAACUGGUCUGAGAGGAUGAUCAGUCACACUGGAACUGAGACACGGUCCAGACUCCUACGGGGAGCAGCAGGUGGGGAAUAGUUGGACAAGUGGGGACGAAAGCC
rnacentral:rRNA from 1 species